GACCCGUCUUGAAACACGGACCAAGGAGUCUAACAUGUGCGCGAGUCAUUGGGCUGUACGAAACCUAAAGGCGUAAUGAAAGUGAAGGUCUCGCCUUGCGCGGGCCGAGGGAGGAUGGGGCUUCCCCGCCCUUCACGGGGCGGCGGCCUCCGCACUCCCGGGGCGUCUCGUCCUCAUUGCGAGGUGAGGCGCACCUAGAGCGUACACGUUGGGACCCGAAAGAUGGUGAACUAUGCCUGGCCAGGACGAAGUCAGGGGAAACCCUGAUGGAGGUCCGUAGCGAUUCUGACGUGCAAAUCGAUCGUCGGAGCUGGGUAUAGGGGCGAAAGACUAAUCGAACCAUCUAGUAGCUGGUUCCCUCCGAAGUUUCCCUCAGGAUAGCUGGUGCUCGUACGAGUCUCAUCCGGUAAAGCGAAUGAUUAGAGGCCUUGGGGCCGAAACGACCUCAACCUAUUCUCAAACUUUAAAUGGGUGAGAUCUCCGGCUUGCUURAAGCACUGAAGCCGUGAGCACACUUUUUGGAUCGGAGUGCCAAGUGGGCCACUUUUGGUAAGCAGAACUGGCGCUGUGGGAUGAACCAAACGCAGAGUUAAGGCGCCCGAAUAGACGCUCAUGGGAAACCAUGAAAGGCGUUGGUUGCUUAAGACAGCAGGACGGUGGCCAUGGAAGUCGGAAUCCGCUAAGGAGUGUGUAACAACUCACCUGCCGAAGCAACUAGCCCUGAAAAUGGAUGGCGCUGAAGCGUCUUGCCUAUACUCUGCCGUCAGCACGGCAAUGAGGGGUGCGCGGUUUCGCUUCGGCGGGCCCGCCCCGUGAGGCCCUGACGAGUAGGAGGGUCGCGGCGGUGAGCGCAGAAGGGUCUAGGCGUGAGCCUACCUGGAGCCGCCGUCGGUGCAGAUCUUGGUGGUAGUAGCAAAUACUCCAGCGAGGCCCUGGAGGACUGACGUGGAGAAGGGUUUCGUGUGAACAGCCGUUGCACACGAGUCAGUCGAUCCUAAGCCCUAGGAGAAAUCCGAUGUCGAUGGGGUCCGAGACUUURAGUUAGGACCCCAUGGGGCGAAAGGGAAUCCGGUUCCUAUUCCGGAACCCGGCAGCGGAACCGUAAUAAGUCGGGCCCCUCGCAAGAGAAGCUCGUCGGGGUAACCCAAAAGGACCCGGAGACGCCGUCGGGAGAUCGGGGAAGAGUUUUCUUUUCUGCAUGAGCGUUCGAGUUCCCUGGAAUCCUCUAGCAGGGAGAUAGGGUUUGGAACGCGAAGAGCACCGCAGUUGCGGCGGUGUCCCGAUCUUCCCCUCGGACCUUGAAAUCCGGA
rnacentral:rRNA from 1 species